UCUUCUCAGUUUUUCUGGAUUACUAAACAAACCUGCCAAGAUGAAAUGGGUAGGCUAUCAAAUGAGCAGUUCCUGGAUUUCUGCCUGU